UACUCUUCCACUCUCAUUUCUUCUCUGUCUCUAGUCCUACUUCCUUAUAAAUCCACCCUAGAUUACUGAUGUCCUACUGAGUACAUUCUAUGUCAUCAAUAUGAUCAUGGGUUUGGAAUUCCCCCCUGAGCCUGGUGGGCUCACUUACUACUGGGUACAAGUUGAAUGUUGUACCUAUGACCUUUACCAGAAUCUGUUAGUUUCCAAACAGCUCAGGAAUAAUUGGUAGGAUCCUGGACUCCCCACCCACUCUCAACAAAACAGGCCAAGCCAGUUUCAAGUCAGCCCAGUGUCAGGAAGAACAGCUGCUGGGUCAUGAUUGCCAAGGUCAAGCAACCCUCUGGAAAAUGUGAAGGCUGGGAAUGUCCCUCUACACAAUGAGAAGUCCCACGCAAGCAUCAGGGGGAGGUUGAGUAGCACACCCUGCAGAAGACAGCUGAGCUGGCGCUUUCCAGGCACAGCAGAGAAGCGUUGCAGCAGUUCCCAGAAGGAGAUCAUUGGAAGGGGCUAGAUGACUGAAGUUGUCGCUGAUUGCAGAAGUAGGCAUUUUGGAUAGUUUUGUUGGAGGCAUUGGAUGUCCCUAAGGAAGCCAGGCUCUCUAUCCUAUUCCAGUAAACCCACCUCUUGGGCUUCUAGCAAUUGCCUUACUGCAAGCUCACAUUUUGGAAAAUCCCUCUUUAUUGGUUGAGUUAGGUGCAAUAACUUGAAGUUUAAAUCCUCAUGUUCUUGUGUGAGAUAGCCAGCACAGAUCUAAAUUUGAAUAACCAUGGUAGAGGAUGUAUCGGGAAUCCUGUUUAUCUGAUCUGGCAUUGAUUCACAUGCCUAUUGGUGUUCUGACACAGUUACCUAAAAGUGACAAGAGUCACAGCUCCAUAGGUAGCCACUGCCUUUGCUGGUAGCCUGAGAUGGUUGAUAUCAGACUAGUCCCAGGAAAAUGAGUGACUUAUGCAAUCUGUUUUAGAAAUGGCUUGUAUGAUUCACCCUUUCAAAUUUUGCCUGAGAAGAUUUUUAAGAAGUUUAAGUUUGUUAGUUGUUUUCGAGGCUUAAGAAAAUGUAAUGAGGGCUGGAGUGGUGGUUCAGUGGUUAAGAGCACUGAUUUUAUUCCAGAGGUCCUGAGUUCAAUUCCCAGCAACCACAUGGUGUCUCACAACCAUCUAUAAUGGGAUCUGAUACCUUCUUCUGGUGUCUGAAGACAACAACAGUGUACUCAUAUACUUAAAGUAAAUAAAUAAAUCUUUAAAAAAUGAAAAUGGAAUGAGGCUUAGGAAGAAUGAUGGUAUAUUGCUAAUAGCCAUUCUUGGGGAGAGACAUUGGAAUGCUCUAGAUGGGAUUAGCAGGUAGCUUGAGGUCCAUCUCAUUGCAAUCUGGAUUCAGACAUCCUUAACAUGCCUCCAGUGCAGCUGAGUUCUGGACCAUCACUUAGCAUCUGGAUACUUCUGAUCUGGUCUCAAGUAGAAUAGGUGAUAGUCAGAUUAGUGUUCUCACCAUAGUAAAUAAGACAGUACAAAACUGUCACCAUGUUUCAAAUGUCUACAUCCAGACCUGAAGUCCUAAAGGUGCCUGUGUACAGCAGAGGGGUGGGAUGAUCCUGGGGAAUUCUAAAAUCCAUUCACUCAGCUCUGUGCAGCAAACUUGAGCACCCAGGUUAGAGAUCCCUUGUGUACUGCUUCAGCAUGCAAAUUUGUAAAUAUAUUUGAGUAACUGUCCCUAUUGUCUUCAGAUUACAUGCUCUCUUUGUGUCAGAGGUGGUACAAAGGGUUAAGACUUAUUCUUGGGGCUAGAGAGGUGGCUCAGCAGUUAAGAGCACUGACUGCUCUUCCAAAGGUCCUGAGUUCAAAUUCCAUCAACUACAUGGUGGCUCACAACCAUCUGUAAUGAGAUCUGACUCACUCUUCUGGUGUGUCUGAAGACAGCUACAGUGUUCUUAGAUAUAACAAUAAAUAAAAUCUUUGGGUCAGAGUGAGUGGGGCCGACCAGAGUGAGCAGAGGUCCUGAAUUCAAUUCCCAGCAACCACAUGAUGGUUCACACCCAUCUGUACAGCUACAGUGUACUCAUAUACAUUAAAUAAAAUAAAUCUUUAAAAAAGU